rnacentral:rRNA from 1 species
UCCAGACUCCUACGGGAGGCAGCAGUGGGGGAUAUUGCACAAUGGGGGAAACCCUGAUGCAGCGACGCCGCGUGAGUGAAGAAGUAUUUCGGUAUGUAAAGCUCUAUCAGCAGGGAAGAAAAAAGACGGUACCUGACUAAGAAGCCCCGGCUAACUACGUGUCAGCAGCCGCGGUAAUACGUAGGGGGCAAGCGUUAUCCGGAUUUACUGGGUGUAAAGGGAGCGUAGACGGCAAUACAAGUCGGAAGUGAAAUACCCGGGCUCAACCUGGGAACUGCUUUGGAAACUGUAUGGCUGGAGUGCUGGAGAGGUAAGCGGAAUUCCUAGUGUAGCGGUGAAAUGCGUAGAUAUUAGGAGGAACACCAGCGGCGAAGGCGGCUUACUGGACAGUAACUGACGUUGAGGCUCGAAAGCGUGGGGAGCAAACAGGAUUAGAUACCCCAGUA